GAAAUCAGCAGGCUCAACCUGUUGAAGGGCCUAAGAUACUGCCGAACUCGAGACCGGUAGACGUCAAGGGAAUUUCUUGGGUAGCGGUGAAAUGCUAUGAUCCAAGAAGGACCACCUGUAGCGAAGGCGCUUGACGAGGACGGCUCUGACGGUGAGGAACGAAAGCUGGGGGAGCGACCCGGAUUAGAUACCCGGUUAGUCCCAGCCGUAAACGAUGUGGACUUGGUGUUCCAUAAUCUUCGGGAUUAUGGAGUGCCGAAGCGAAGGCGUUAAGUCCACCGCCUGGGGAGUAUACCCGCAAGGGUGAAACUUAAUGGAAUUGGCGGGGGCGCACCACAAGGGGUGGAUGCUGCGGUUCAAUUGGACACAACCCCGGAAGAACUUACCAGGGACGACAGCAGGAUGAUGGACAGUCUGAAGGGCUUUCCUGACACGCUGAGAGGUGUUGUAUGGUCAUCGUCAGCCCGUACCAUGAGGCGUCCUGUUAACUCAGGCAACGGGCGAGACCCACAUCCUUAGUUGCCAGCAUCUUCUCAGGAAGAUGCGCACUCUAUGGAGACUGCUUGCGCAAGCAAGAGGAAGGGGUGAGCGACGGUAGAUCUGUAUGGCCCGAAUUUCCUGGGCUACACGCGGCAUACAAUGGCUGAGACAAUGAGUUCCGAACCCGAAAGGGCAAGGUAAUCCCCUAACCUCAGCCGCAGUUCGGAUUGAGGUUUGUAACUCAACCUCAUGAAG
rnacentral:rRNA from 1 species